GCGGGUGGGGUGAAGUGGUUAACACACCAGAUUGUGUCUCUGGCAUGCGUGGGUUCGAUCCCCAUCACUCGCC
rnacentral:tRNA from 1 species